GGAAAAGCCCAAGAGAAACCACCACGGACUUCAUUUGGAAGACAUGCAAGCAAGGCCUUGCAACCCGUUCUCGAGGUGCUCAAAGCAAAUGGGCGCUUCCCAUUGGCCAGAUUUCGGAAUGGUUCAAAGGUCUAUUUCCAAGGCGGAAACCGGCAAACCAACAGGUUAUUUGGAGACAUCAGCAGAGUGGUUGCCGAUCAACACCAGCGAGCAAGGUCUGACAUCGAGGAGACAGCCAUUACUCCUUCACGCAAAUCCAAUUGUGAGGAGCGCACAGUUUAAGACAGGACCCACUGAGCACCUUAGAGAACUCACGGGGAAAGCAGAGACUUUAAAUUUCAUCCAGAGAAAACUGUGCGAGGCUAAUUCUGAACUCAUGAACAACGAACAACCAUGAAACAGAACAGAACAGAACAGUCCCACUUCUCGAGGGGUGGGGGAGGGGAAGACAAGGAAUCAAGGUUAUACAAGGCACACAAAGACAGAGCGUG
ensembl:antisense Gm7097 predicted gene 7097